UUCAAAUUAAGCCUAUUUGUGAAUAGCUAGAAUCCUUAUUAUGCCUUUAACCUUACUUUUACUUCCACAAUUAGGAAUUAGGGCUUAAAAUUUUUGUAAAGAGAAAUGCAUAACCUCCAUAUUUUCAGAAAAUAGUAAUCAGCUUCAUAACCUAAAAGUAUCUAAUUUAUUCGAAAAAUAAUGAUAAACAUCAUAGCCAAUAAAAAUGAUACAUAAAACCUAUCCUGAGAGUGUGUGUG
rnacentral:misc_RNA from 1 species